GGACGCGGCUGUGCCCGCGACUUCCCGCGGGCACCCCGAGGCCCCUCGCAAAGUCUCGCCCCAUUCCGAGUCCGGCGGACGAACUUCGACCGCGCCCCCCACCAAGGCUAUAGCCCACCCGUUUUUUGGCCAUUUUUCCGCUGGGGGGUUUUGGCACCACGACCUUCGGGCGCUUAUUUUUGGACGCGGCUGUGCCCGCGACUUCCCGCGCGCACCUCGAGGCCCCUCGCAAAGUCUCACCCCAUUCCAAGUCCGGCGGACGAACUUCGCCCGCGCCCCCCACCAAGGCUAUAGCCCACCCGUUUUUUGGCCAUUUUUCCGCUGGGGGGUUUUGGCACCACGACCUUUGGGCACAUAUUUUUGGGCGCGGCUUUGUCCGCGGCUUAUUUUUGGUACCCCGAGGCCCCUCGCAAAGUCUCGCCCUAUUCCGAGUCCGGCGGACGAACUUCGCCCGCGCCCCCCACCAAGGCUAUAGCCCACCCGUUUUUUGGCCAUUUUUCCGCUGGGGGGUUUUGGCACCACGACCUUCGGGUGCUUAUUUUUGGGCGCGGCUUUGGCCGCGGCUUAUUUUUGGUACCCCGAGGCCCCUCGCAAAGUGUCGCCCUAUUCCGAGUCCGGCGGACGAACUUCGCCCGCGCCCCCCACCAAGGCUAUAACCCACCCGUUUUUUGGCCAUUUUUCCGCUUGGGGGUUUUGGCACCACGACCUUCGGGCGCUUAUUUUUGGACGCGAUUGUGCCCGCGACUUCCCGCGGGCACCUCGAGGCCCCUCGCAAAGUCUCGCCCCAUUCCAAGUCCGGCGGACGAACUUCGCCCGCGCCCCCCACCAAGGCUAUAGCCCACCCGUUUUUUGGCCAUUUUUCCGCUGGGGGGUUUUGGCACCACGACCUUUGGGCACAUAUUUUUGGGCGCGGCUUUGUCCGCGGCUUAUUUUUGGUACCCCGAGGCCCCUCGCAAAGUCUCGCCCUAUUCCGAAUCCGGCGGACGAACUUCGCCCGCGCCCCCCACCAAGGCUAUAGCCCACCCGUUUUUUGGCCAUUUUUCCGCUAUGGGGUUUUGGCACCACGACCUUCGGGCACUUAUUUUUGGACGCGGCUGUGCCCGCGACUUCCCGCGGGCACCCCGAGGCCCCUCGCACAGUCUCGCCCCAUUCCGAGUCCGGCGGACGAACUUCGCCCGCGCCCCCCACCAAGGCUAUAGCCCACCCGUUUUUUGGCCAUUUUUCCGCUGGGGGGUUUUGGCACCACGACCUUCGGGUGCUUAUUUUUGGACGCGGCUGUGCCCGCGACUUCCCGCGGGCACC
rnacentral:lncRNA from 1 species